rnacentral:rRNA from 1 species
UACGGGAAGGCAGCAGUGGGGAAUAUUGCACAAUGGGCGAAAGCCUGAUGCAGCUAUGCCGCGUGUAUGAAGAAGGCCUUAGGGUUGUAAAGUACUUUCAUCGGGGAGGAAAAACAAAACUAAUAAUUUUAUUUCUUGACGUUACCCGAAAAAGAAGCACCGGCUAACUCCGUGCCAGCAGCCGCGGUAAUACGGAGGGUGCUAGCGUUAAUCAGAAUUACUGGGCGUAAAGAGCACGUAGGUGGUUUUUUUAAAGUCAGAUGUGAAAUCCCUGGGCUUAACCUAGGAACUGCAUUUUGAAACUGAAAUACUAGAGUAUCGUAGAGGGAGGUAGAAUUCUAGGUGUAGCGGUGAAAUGCGUAGAUAUCUGGAGGAAUACCUGUGGCGAAAGCGGCCUCCUAAACGAAUACUGACACUGAGGGUGCGAAAGCGUGGGGAGCAAACAGGGAUUAGAUACC